AUAGCUACCAAGAGACAAAAAUGUUAAGGAGAGCAUGGGGAGUUAGAAUAUCAAGUUGGAUUCAAGAAAUAGAAGCUGGAGGAGAGAGAAAAUCAAGUUAAAGAUUAGUAUCAAUAAAACAAGGUAAGUAUAUCAAGAUUUCAAUAUGUUUUUAAGUUUGUUAUUAUUGACAAAGCAUGGAAAUAAUGUUAUAGUAGAGUUUUAUUACAUAAGGUCCUAUGUUUUUGAUAUGUUAGUGAAGAGAAAAUAAGAGAAAGUGAUGAGAAAUGGUGUAGAAAAA
rnacentral:lncRNA from 1 species